ensembl:lncRNA
GUACAGGCUAACGGCAUGCCACCGGCUCACUUAAUCCUGCUAACCAUGGGGAUUAAUUGGCAUUUGAGAGUUCAACAGUCUAUGAUGAAUGUGUUUUAUACAUUUGCAUUAUUAAAGUGGCUGAGAAACGACCUAAGCCUACAUGACUUUGCAAAUAUCAGAAUUGCUGACCCUUUCACACUAUGAUUUUAAAUGCUUGUGUUGUCUGGACUUUUGGUGGAUCGAGGUGAGUGCACGCUACACGAUCGCUCGCAGAGGAGGCACACAUAUCACACAAUCUUUCAGAAACUUUUUUGGUUUGUUUGUUCAUUUUUGUGGACCGUCAUUUCCACCAGCUGCCUCCGGACAGCUUGCAUCGUCAGGACUCAAACUCGCAGUCUCCCAACAGUGAGGUGAACGCGUUUCUGUUCUGUGCAGCUUGGGAUCCCCAAAUCCUGUUCAAAUCUCGUUCAAACCAACCCAAAAGCUUCGAUCAUGUGAUACUGUCACUAUUUUGCAUGAAAACAAAAGAUUUUUUAAAAAAAAGAAAAAAAGAUAAAAAGAGAAACGUGAAAGAAAUAGCGGUUGUGGGCAGGGAAGCGUGUCGGUUCUGCAGAGAGAACCAGGUGUAUAGAGCAGACAACAUAGAUCAUUUGUUUGUUUGUUUUUAUUUUUGCCGUUCCUAACGGCACACUUGCCGUUCCUACCCACAAACGUGUGGGUAGGAUAGUUGCCGAGCUCCGAAGAAGUAGUCCGUGACUGGAGCUGAAAUCGUGUAGUGUGCACCUGACCACAAAGCUAAAGGCAUAACACUUGAGCUUAUGUGACUUUUAGUGAAAACUACAGAAACUAAUGCUAAUACUAAACUAAUAGGGUUUUUUUUUGUUGUUGUUUUUUUUUUUGCAUUUCUUGAACAAGUCUUCAUCUUUGGAAUAUAAAGGAAUAUAGGAAGGAAUGGUCAGUGGUAGCUCAGUGGUUAAGAAAUUGGGUUACUGAUCAGAUGGUCAACGCCCAGAACCACUAAGCUGCUACUGUUGGGCCCUUGAGUAAGGCCCUUAACCCUCAACUGCUCAGAUGUAUAAAUGAGAUAAAUGUUAGUCGCACUGGGCUUCUGCCAAAUGCCGUAAAAUGUGAACGUGAAUAUCACAGAGGAAAUGUAAAGAGAGGAAAAGUUCAAAUGCUUAAUAAUAAGAAGAAUAAGAGGUGUUUUAGUAGCACUGUGGCUGCAUGAUUUAAAGGAGAUAAGAGUGCACUAUUGUCCACUAUUAAUACACGGGUCUUUAAAGGUUUUAACCUGAUUAACUACAAGAAUAAAGAACACUUUUACUUUUAAAAUGAGCCAGAAAUACAGCGUUAGCAAGCAAGCACCUAUAUUCUUAUCAUCGGGACGAUGCUGGGAGAAUUACUGCAAAAUGCACAACCGAUGAUACACAAAUUAUCCAUCAUCCAUCUUCUACCACUUACUCCUUUUCAGGGUCAGGGGGCUGGAGCCUAUCCCAGGGAGCAUGGGGCACAAGGCGGGGACUUGUCUGCCGCACCCAAACCUUCUCUCAUAGACACAUGAUGAGCAACAAGAACUGCAAGAAAGUUGGAAAACCAGGCAACGGACAUCAUUGCCAAUAAAUGGCUUUUAGGCUUCUUUUUAAAGCAAACGUACAAUGAGAACUAGGCUAAAAGCAUGAUUUCAUAUAAAAAAAAAUAAAAAAAUAUUGAAACCUAGGAGAACAAAAAAAAAAAAAAAAAGCAUCCAAAAAGUGCUUCCUGUAAUCCCUGUAUCAGCAUGCGAGAGUGCUGUCGCAUGGCCUGCCUUUACAUACACCACAGAAAGCAAAGGAUUAUGGGGCUCCUGGUGAUACAAGGGGCGUGAAAUGAGGGAAGCGUUUGUGGAUAUGGAACAGUAUAACCGAACCCAGAGCUCAGCCCUGAACGCUGUAUUUCAGAUAAGUUGUGGUUAAUAACAUAUAUGCAAAAGCCGACACACAUGUGUAGUCAAAUGACGCAACGGUUCCCCCUAGAACUCUCACAGAUUUUUGAGUCUUCCAAUAUAUUACGUGUUAUAGUUUAAUCUACUUUCAAUCAUGGUCUCACGACACACCAGUUUUUCUUCCAGCACUGGUUUUGUGCAUACUGCUGUAUACGCACUGAAAUAUUACACGUGUGUGUGUGUGUGUGUGUGUGUGUGUGUGUGUGUGUGUGCGUGUGUGUGUGUUAUGUCUGUAUGUAUUGUUUAUGUUUCAGCCCAAAACUGGAAGAGAAAAAAAACAACAACAACUAAAUGUAUGCAAAGAUACUGCUGCUGAUAUACUUCUUUGCCCGUGCUUUUAUUUAGUUUGAUAUAACAGACAGGAUUUAUAAUCCUGUGUAUAAUCCUGUGUAUAAUCCGGUGUCUAAACAUCAGUGUUAUAUCUGGAUGGGUAUGUUGUUUUUUACCUGUAAUGCAGGCAUGAUUUCAUUUCUUUCUUUUCUUUCUUUCUUUCUUUUUUCGUCCACCAUUGCUGUCUCGCCACUCAUGGAGAAACAUUAGGGCUUUUGGCCUUCAACAGAUAUUUAUUUUUGGACACUGUAUUGCUUCUUGUAACUGUCAUCAUAAAUUGUGGUGUUUUUUUUUUUUUUUCCAAGGAAAUUUAUGACUUAAGACUUACUGAGGCACUAUUAACUGCUCAUGGCAUAGUGAAUGUGACAGAAUGCCAGCCAUUACCAUUGAGCGUACACACACACACACACACACCACACACACACACACACACACACACACACACACACACACACACACACACACACACACACACUUUUGACUUUUACACUUGUAAAAAAAAAAAAAAAAAAAAGUGCAAAUGUAGCAACCAAGUCUUCCAUUUCAAAUGAUAUCAGUAGCUCAGGUUUAGUUUUUGCUGUAAAAGAUGCUGUGGCCUGUUAUGAGGGAUGGCAAUAUGAACGGAAACCUGAAAAACUAGACACCAGGCUGGGGUUAGUUUCUGCUUAUUCUCCUUAUUCAUCGUUCAUACUUUAUUAUUUAAUGUGGCAACAUUUUUAUUUUUAGACUUGCAUCUCUUUAAAGAUUCUAUCACCUCGAAUCUGAAGCGUGGAAAUAUUCCAUAUCAACACCAGGACAUAAGAAGUACAGUGUUGGUCUGAAGAGAGAGAGAGAGAGAAAGAGAGAGAGAGAGAGAGAUUACAUGUAAUCAUGCAUAGUCUAGUCUGGAAACAAGAUCCCACAUAAACACCGCAAUAAGCAGCUCUACGAAAGCAAUAGAUAUCCAUUCGCAGGUGUAUGUUUUUAGAUGCACCUUUUUAGAUUCAACUGAAAUUAGAGAAAGACAAAUGACAUUAAAGUAAAGCUCCAUUUACUUUACUCACACUUGGAAAGCAAUAGACGCAUGACAAAGCGCAUUGUCACAUACGGGCAUUUCUCUUCUGUCAUUUUUUUCUAGCUUGUUCUUUCCUUAGCUUUUGCCACAUGGUUUGACCAGCCGUUACGAAGGACGAUGAGUUCACAGGCUGACGUGUGAAUUUGCUACAGAAUACCGGCGGGUUUUUGUGUAAUCGUCUUUAGAGCUCAACAAAGACACUUUGAAACACUGUGAUUAGACUGUAGCACUGUCCGAGCAACUUCCCCAAGUACACGCAAACACGCGUUACUGUUCACUGACUGUGCCCAGUUAGUACUGGAAACGUGUAAGGACCGUAGGUUUUAAGCGUAGAAUAUUAUCAUGAGAUUAUUUUUUUUAUUAUUCAUUUCUAACUUUCUCCACAAUGACAUAGUUCUAACUGGCUAUACUUUUAAGGUGUCGUUAUGAAUGUGUAGCUAUAGGGUUCCAUCUGUUUCCAUAUGCCAUCGUGUUAAUGUUUACUCUGCCCUUCCAAAAAAAAACAAAAAUGUAGCUAAACACUUGCCUUGCUGUUGUAAAAUUCACUGAAAAUGUUCGUCGAUUUCAAAAAAACAACGCCAGGAUCUUCUGAUGUAAACAAAACACUGUUUUAACCGUUUCCAAGCCCCAAAGACAAAAUCAGAUUCGAUCCAAUGGUCACACGCAAUCCUCAAAGUUUCUCAGCUACCUGUAUUGAUGUUUUUGUGUUAAUUCCAGGCAUUAAUCAUGAGCGAGCUGAAUCAGAGACAAUGGACACGUGAAGGAUCUAAUAAACUGAAACAUAUGGAGUCAGUGAAUUAUGCUAAAGAACACUCUUUGUAAAAUGGACCAAGCUCAUGACAUGAAAUAAGACAAGAUCAUCAUUACAGUUCAAACGCUAGUGUGUAAAUAGUGUAGGGCGCUGAUAGAAAGAAAUGUGGUAUAAACAUAUCAUGGUGUAAAUCUGAAAUUAGUCAGUCCUCUGAAUAUUAUGCAAACCAUCCAGUAUUGUGUGGUAAUGUAGCAUCACCCAGAAACAGAAAUGAUGUCAGAAUACACCGACCGUCGCUUGUUUUUAGCACCAUACCUUAAAUCACAGAGCGUACAAUAGUAUUAACAUAUUUCCUUUAGUUAAAUGACUGCAAGCUUGUUUGUGUGAUUGUCUAACAGUUCGAUUCACAGCAUUUUAGGGAGUGUGAUCCCAAAAGAGUUUUGGGAACAGAAACGCAUUACAGAAAACAAACAUGAUAUCCAGAUGCAGUACGGUAAAGUCUUACUAAACCAAAAUACACCAAAGUUUCCUGUUAAAUAUCUUAAAAAAUGCACAAAAUGUACACUUUCUAUGAUACUUACCACUAACAGCUAUGCCAAAAAUAAUAAUAAUAAUAAUAAUAAUUAUACGGUUGAAUAAUAUUCAUACAGAUACAAGUUUAUCAGCGCCGUUUAUUUGAUUUAUUUUACAUUAGGAAAGACAGUACCAAACAGAUAAUACAAAAAAAAAAGGUCUUGCAGAUAUGUUGGAAUGAUUCAUUAAAACAGUCGUGAAAUCCACAUAUGAACUUAUAACGAGCAUUAUUUCAUACAAUUUUAAUACGUAAUCACUUGAACUAGAUCCGAAAGCUGUACAUUUACGACGUCCACGUAUUUUCCAACGCAUUUCAUCGACGUCAUUUGCAAGUGGUCCGUUCCGAAAUGUAAGAGAAACGGUGCUCAGAAUUCUUGUUGAAUCAUCGUUACGAUCACAUACAGCAAGGCAUGUUCACGCUGUUUACUUUUCCACAUGUUUCCUUUUGUUUUUCAUUUUAAAAGAUGAAUUGAUGUCUCAGAUGAAAAGGCCAUGAACCAGCAACGUGCAAAUAUAUGAGCCACUUUUGAGAUUACUCGCAUUGUCGUUUUGUAAUGUGGUAACAUGGUAUUUAUUCUCAUCGCAUCAGCCCGUUGGCCUCCGUAUUGGAUGAGAUGCAGUUUGAAUGGCAAUUCGGUACACAGCAAAAUCCCCAGUGUUGAUUUAACACCCGGAGUGUUGAAUUUACACCCUGCAGUGUUUAUAUAAAUCCACUGGACACAAAUGAACACUCCGGGUGUUAAUUCAACACUGGGGAUUUUACUGCGUAGUACUGCUCAAUUCUCUAGAUUAGAAACUAAAGAAUUAUACAUCACCAGAAGCAACAUUAAAAGCUUGCUUUUGUUUUCUUGAUGGAUUCCAGGAGGUUGUCAGAACGGUGACCUGGGGUUUGAAACAAGCGGCAGUGUAGGAUUUGAAAUAUUUACUCCUUGGGUUCAUACAAGACUUCUCCUCAAGUUCAUUUCUCUGUAAUUAAAAAAAGAAUCGAAAGAAGAAAAAAAAAAAACCAGAGCUGCAUGUGGAAAAGUAGGACUUUUAGGAAAGUCCACUCCCGUGUAAGAGAGCUGGAUUCCAAACAAACUACGCAGUUGGUCGAUGUCACCGCAGUAAUAAAAUCCAAUUAAAUACAAAAAAUGUCAACUUUCGCAGAAAAACUAGAAACACUUAUAAUCUUAACUUCUAGAGAACGGAUUAAAAUUAGUCACUCAAUAGCAUAUUAACCUUGAAAGGAAUGCGAACUGCACACGUGCACAGAAAAUGUUUUUGAUAUAUACAA